rnacentral:rRNA from 1 species
UACGUAGGGUGCAAGCGUUGUCCGGAAUUAUUGGGCGUAAAGAGUUCGUAGGCGGUUUGUCGCGUCGGCUGUGAAAGCCCUCGGCUUAACUGAGGAAGUGCAUCCGAAACUGGCAGGCUAGAGUACCAAAGAGGGUCGCGGAAUUCCCGGUGUAGAGGUGAAAUUCGUAGAUAUCGGGAGGAACACCGGUGGCGAAGGCGGCGACCUGGGUGGAUACUGACGCUGAGGUGCGAAAGCGUGGGGAGCAAACAGG